GACGAACGCUGGCGGCGUGCCUAAUACAUGCAAGUCGAACGCAGUGGGGACGGGUGAGUAACACGUGGGUAACCUCCCAUCAGAGGGGAGAACACUUGGAAACAUGUGCUCAACCGAUACAGAUGGAUGGACCCGCGGUGCAUUAGCUAGUUGGGGAGGUAACGGCGCACCAAGGCCACGAUGCAUAGCUGGCCUGAGAGGGCGAGCGGCCACACUGGGACUGAGACACGGCCCAGACUCCGACGGGAGGCAGCAGUAGGGAAUCUUGGGCAAUGGACGAAAGUCUGACCGAGCCACGCCGCGUGUGUGAAGAAGGUGUUCGGAUCGUAAAACUCUGUUGUUAGGGAAGCGGUAUCUACCCAGAAAGCCACGGCUAACUACGUGCCAGCAGCCGCGGUAAUAC
rnacentral:rRNA from 1 species